rnacentral:rRNA from 1 species
AGAGUUUGAUCCUGGCUCAGGAUGAACGCUAGCUACAGGCUUAACACAUGCAAGUCGAGGGGAAACGGGAAAGCAGCUUGCUGCUUUUUGUCGUCGACCGGCGCACGGGUGAGUAAUCAGUAGGGGUUCUGAGAGGAAGGUCCCCCACAUUGGAACUGAGACACGGUCCAAACUCCUACGGGAGGCAGCAGUGAGGAAUAUUGGUCAAUGGGCGAAAGCCUGAACCAGCCAAGUAGCGUGCAGGAUGACGGCCCUAUGGGUUGUAAACUGCUUUUACAGGGGAAUAAAAAGGAGCACGUGUGUUCUGUUGCAUGUACCCUGCGAAUAAGGACCGGCUAAUUCCGUGCCAGCAGCCGCGGUAAUACGGAAGGUCCUGGUGUUAUCCGGAUUUAUUGGGUUUAAAGGGAGCGUAGGCCGUAGAUUAAGUGUGUUGUGAAAUGUAGGCGCCCAACGUCUGCCUUGCAGCGCAAACUGGUUUACUUGAGUACGCGCAACGCAGGCGGAAUUCGUCGUGUAGCGGUGAAAUGCUUAGAUAUGACGAAGAACUCCUAUUGCGAAGGCAGCUUGCGGGAGCGUUACUGACGCUGAAGCUCGAAAGUGCGGGUAUCGAACAGGAUUAGAUACCCUGGUAGUCCGCACGGUAAACGAUGGAUGCCCGAAACUCAAAGGAAUUGACGGGGGCCCGCACAAGCGGAGGAACAUGUGGUUUAAUUCGAUGAUACGCGAGGAACCUUACCCGGGCUUGAAUUGCAGACGAUGUAUUUAGAGAUAGAUAUUCACUUCGGUGCGUCUGUGAAGGUGCUGCAUGGUUGUCGUCAGCUCGUGCCGUGAGGUGUCGGCUUAAGUGCCAUAACGAGCGCAACCCCUGUCUUCAGUUGCCAUCAGGUGAUGCUGGGCACUCUGUAGAUACUGCCACCGUAAGGUGUGAGGAAGGUGGGGAUGACGUCAAAUCAGCACGGCCCUUACGUCCGGGGCUACACACGUGUUACAAUGGGGGGUACAGCGAGUUGGAUGCCCGCAAGGUCAUUCUAAUCAAUAAAGCCUCCCUCAGUUCGGACUGGGGUCUGCAACCCGACCCCACGAAGCUGGAUUCGCUAGUAAUCGCGCAUCAGCCAUGGCGCGGUGAAUACGUUCCCGGGCCUUGU